AUUGAACGCUGGCGGCAGGCCUAACACAUGCAAGUCGAACGAGUGGCGGACGGGUGAGUAAUGUCUGGGAAACUGCCCGAUUGAGGGGGAUAACUACUGGAAACGGUAGCUAAUACCGCAUACCAUCGGAUGUGCCCAUAUGGGAUUAGCUAGUAGGUGGGGUAACGACUCACCUAGGCGACGAUCCCUAGCUGGUCUGAGAGGAUGACCGGCCACACUGGAACUGAGACACGGUCCAGACUCCUACGGGAGGCAGCAGUGGGGAAUAUUGCACAAUGGGCGCAAGCCUGAUGCAGCCAUGCCGCGUGUAUGAAGAAGGCCUUCGGGUUGUAAAGUACUUUCAGCGAGGAGGCGUUACUCGCAGAAGAAGCACCGGCUAACUCCGUGCCAGCAGCCGCGGUAAUUC
rnacentral:rRNA from 1 species